rnacentral:rRNA from 1 species
UACGUAGGGGGCUAGCGUUGUCCGGAAUCAUUGGGCGUAAAGCGCGUGUAGGCGGUCCGGUAAGUCCGCUGUGAAAGUCGGGGGGCUCAACCCUCGAAUGCCGGUGGAUACUGUCGGGCUAGAGUGCGGAAGAGGCGAGUGGAAUUCCUGGUGUAGCGGUGAAAUGCGCAGAUAUCAGGAGGAACACCUAUUGCGAAGGCAGCUCGCUGGGACGUAACUGACGCUGAGACGCGAAAGCGUGGGGAGCAAACAGG